rnacentral:tRNA from 2 species
UUUAAUAUGGCAGAAUAGUGCAAUGGAUUUAAACCCCAUAUAUAAAAUUAAACUUUUUAUUAAAA